GUGCUCACUUCGGGAGCACAUAUAUUAAAAUUGGAAUGAUACAGAGAAGAUUAGCAUGGCCCUUGAGCAAGGAUGACACGAUAAUUUGUGAAGCAUUCUGUAUUUUG